AUUGAACGCUGGCGGCAGGCUUAACACAUGCAAGUCGAGCGGGGUGAUGGUGCUUGCACUAUCACUUAGCGGCGGACGGGUGAGUAAUGCUUAGGAAUCUGCCUAUUAGUGGGGGACAACAUCUCGAAAGGGAUGCUAAUACCGCAUACGUCCUACGGGAGAAAGCAGGGGAUCACUUGUGACCUUGCGCUAAUAGAUGAGCCUAAGUCGGAUUAGCUAGUUGGUGGGGUAAAGGCCUACCAAGGCGACGAUCUGUAGCGGGUCUGAGAGGAUGGACGGCCAGACUGGGACUGAGAAACGGCCCAGACUCCUACGGGAGGCAGCAGUGGGGAAUAUUGGACAAUGGGGGGAACCCUGAUCCAGCCAUGCCGCGUGUGUGAAGAAGGCCUUAUGGUUGUAAAGCACUUUAAGCGAGGAGGAGGCUCUUUUGGUUAAUACCCAAGAUGAGUGGACGUUACUCGCAGAAUAAGCACCGGCUAACUCUGUGCCAGCCGCCGCCGUAA
rnacentral:rRNA from 1 species